ensembl:snRNA U12 U12 minor spliceosomal RNA
AUGCCUUAAACUUAUGAGUAAGGAAAAUAACGAUUCGGGGUGACACCCGAAUCCUCACUGCUAAUGUGAGACGAAUUUUUGAGCAGGUAAAGGUUGACCCCAAGGUGACCCGCCUACUUUGCGGGAUGCCUGGGAGUUGCGGAGUUGCGAUCUGCCCG